rnacentral:ncRNA from 1 species
UGCGUUGACGCGCAGCAGUUGACUGGACAUCUAGGGGUAAAGCACUGUUUUGGUGCGGGCUGCACGAGCGCUACCAAAUCGAGGCAAACUCUGAAUAGUAGAUAUGACCCAAAAAUAACAGGGGUCAAGGUUGGCCAGUGAGACGAUGGGGGAUAAGCUUCAUCGUCGAGAGGGAAACAGCCCGGAUCACCAGCUAAGGCCCCAAAAUGACCGCUCAGUGAUAAAGGAGGUGGGGGUGCAAAGAUAGCCAGGAGGUUUGCCUAGAAGCAGCCACCCUUUAAAGAGUGCGUAAUAGCUCACUGAUCGAGCGCCCUUGUGCUGAAGAUGAACGGGGCUAAGCGAGCUGGCGAAGCUGUGGGAUGUGUGAUGUAGACAAGAUCUAUCUAUGUAGAGAUAGACCCCAUCGUUUUAUCCUUAGUAGCAACGAUACAUACGUGUCGGU